GUGCGUGUAGCUCAGUUCGGACAGAGCAGUUCCCUCGGAAGGUUCAGGGCGUGGGUUCAAAUCCCUCCACGCACG
rnacentral:tRNA from 1 species